rnacentral:rRNA from 1 species
AGCAGUAGCCGCGGGAAAACGGAGGGUGCAAGCGUUAAUCGGAUUUACUGGGCGUAAAGCGUGCGUAGGCGGCUUCUUAAGUCGGAUGUGAAAUCCCUGAGCUUAACUUAGGAAUUGCAUUCGAUACUGGGAAGCUAGAGUAUGGGAGAGGAUGGUAGAAUUCCAGGUGUAGCGGUGAAAUGCGUAGAGAUCUGGAGGAAUACCGAUGGCGAAGGCAGCCAUCUGGCCUAAUACUGACGCUGAGGUACGAAAGCAUGGGGAGCAAACAGGAUUAGAUACCCGAGUAGUCCCUGUCUCUUAUAC